rnacentral:rRNA from 1 species
AUUGAACGCUGGCGGCAGGCCUAACACAUGCAAGUCGAGCGGAUGAGUGGAGCUUGCUCCAUGAUUCAGCGGCGGACGGGUGAGUAAUGCCUAGGAAUCUGCCUGGUAGUGGGGGACAACGUUUCGAAAGGAACGCUAAUACCGCAUACGUCCUACGGGCGAAAGCAGGGGACCUUCGGGCCUUGCGCUAGCAGAUGAGCCUAGGUCGGAUUAGCUAGUAGGUGAGGUAAUGGCUCACCUGGGCGACGAUCCGUAACUGGUCUGAGAGGAUGAUCAGUCACACUGGAACGGAGACACGGUCCAGACUCCUACGGGAGGCAGCAGUGGGGAAUAUUGGACAAUGGGCGAAAGCCUGAUCCAGCCAUGCCGCGUGUGUGAAGAAGGUCUUCGGAUUGUAAAGCACUUUAAGUUGGGAGGAAGGGCAGUAAGUUAAUACCUUGCUGUUUUGACGUUACCAACAGAAUAAGCACCGGCUAACUUCGUGCCAGCAGCCGCAGUAAGAC